UUAAGUGACGAUAGCCUAGGAGAUACACCUGUUCCCAUGCCGAACACAGCAGUUAAGCCCUAGUACGCCUGAAGUAGUUGGGGGUUGCCCCCUGUUAGAUACGGUAGUCGCUUAGC
rfam:Streptococcus henryi strain A-4 genome assembly, contig: IE83DRAFT_scaffold00034.34